GGUGUAUGCCGUAAUAAUCCAAGUGGACACCGCUCAAUCUUCAGAUCUAUCUGCCAUUGUAGAUUAUGCUGCAAAGUUCCCAUAACAAUUUGAUUUAAAUGAUGGGUCACCCCACAAAGGUUUUGACGCAGGGUAUAAAAUUACCCCUCUGGCUUUCAAAGUAGAACGACUUCUCCGGGAUGGUGGUCUUGGCAUUUGC
rnacentral:lncRNA from 1 species